ACAAGACUAGAUAGAAAUGAUUACCACGUAAGCAUGUGCAAGACAAAGCACACUUCCUUCACAAAUCAUGGAUGUGAGGGUUUUGAGUGCAUAGUAUGCAAAGAAAUAAUUCCUCUCCCUGCUGUAUGCCAGAAUUACUGUUUCAUCCACCAAAUAAUGAGUUAGUAACUACUAUGUACAUCAUGCUUAGACAUUUGUACUUUCUAAUUCUUCUAUAAGAAUUCACUUAGUAUUAUCUUUGUUCAAAUAUGUGGUUAAAAAAUACAAACAUAACAUAAUGAGGUUAGACAUCAAGAACACAAACAUGAAACCAAAUAUUACAUUCGUUGUGAUAGAAUUUUAAGUGACAUACGAGGCGUCAUUUGUGAAUUGGGUUGUUUCCGAAUGUCAUUCUGAUAUAGGGCUAUAAAUUAUAUGCAAGGUAAAAUACUAAUGUGAGACCGAUAACAAAGGAGUAUCAGAGUCGGAAAAUGAAAAGGAUUUUAUAAUGACAUUCUAAGAGUUUUUGUGAUUGAUGGGAAGGAAGCGAAUGGAAGUUGAUGACUUGUCUCGGUCAGAUGUGGAAUUGUGAAAAUCAGUUCGUCGACUGACUCGUACAGUUAGAUAUGGACCGGUGCGGAUUCUAUAGUUACAAUUUAAUAAACAAAGUAGAAUCAAUAUUCAAAUUAUAUAAAGAAAAAUGCAUCCAUGUAGAAGGUGGUGGCCUUGUUUUGUUAGAAUCUUUUUAAGAUUGGGUGGUGAUGACAUAGAAAUAAGAAAGUAGAUGUAUAAGUGUACUAAAUGGGUAAAAUCAAUGUGGACUUGGGAACUUGUAAGCUAAACGGAAAAACAAAGGGUAUCAAGAUAAAAAAGAAGACAAAGAAGUUGGACCUAAAAGUUAAUAAAAAGUAGGAUAUAUGUGCUUUAUUGAAUGAAUUACCAAAGAUGAUGUAACAACAAUGGCUAUUGACAAAGCAAUAAAAGUUGUAAAACCAUAACUAUAUCUUCUUCCAUAGGAAAUUCUCAAAAUCAUAAAUUUAUAAUUUUAAAAUCCAGUUAACUGUAUUAUAUUUUAAUUUUACCCAAAUAAUUUUCGGCAUAUAAUAUACUUUUCAUCACUUAACCUUUUCAUGUGUACAUAUGUAAAUCAAUAUAACUUAUAAUAUCAUUAUAUUAUUUUCUUCCUUAUAACUUCUUACUAAUAACAAGCAUAUUAUAUUUUAAACUUUCUUAACCUAAACCCUAACCGUACAUAUGUAACUAUGUAAGUCAAUACAACUUAUAGUAUCAUUAUAUUAUUUUCUUCCUUAUAACUUCUUAAUAAUAAACAUAUUAGAUUUUCAACAUUCUAACCUAAACCCUAACCAGUAAAUAACUCAUAACCCGUUACACCCAAAGAAUAUAGAGAUUGAUCAACAACUACUUUUUUAUUCUAAAAUAAGGUAUAGAGAUUAAUCAACAACUACUUUUUUAUACUAAAGUAAGGUAAAUGUCACGAGUUUGAAAAUACAUAUUAUAUCAUUUUUUUUUGUAAAAUAAAUAUAAAUUCAUGUAAGUUCUACGAGGAUAUACAAUCAUCUCAUAUAAUAAAUCAAAAAUAAAUUAUAAUACAAUAGUUACUUAUUAACAUAUUUAAUUGACAUAAAGGACAAAACUAGUUAGGAAAAUAUAAUAACAUUUUAUCUCUUAUUAUUGCUUAUGCAUUUUAGACUUUAGUUUACAAAUUAGUUUAUUCUUUAUCACUAAAAGCCACCAUUAUCAUAAGACGGUCUUUCUUAGUGGCGUUAAAUACCAAUCAUAUCCUUACAUCUCCUCUUAACUUUUUCGUUCUUUUGGUUCCAAAAUCUCCUGAAAAUUUUAUUUUUGUUUUAAAAAUUAUCCAAUAGAAAUUGGCACCUUCCUUUUAUUUGCAAUACUAUAUGUAAACACAGAAAUAUUAGAAAAUUAAAAAAAAAAAAAAAAAAAAACUCUUUAAUUAUCAUAUCAAAUUUAUUAUUAAUCACAAUAUACGUACACAUAAAAAGGAAAAAGGGAGGAUAAUGGUUGUGAACGACUAGAGGUAACGAACUAACGAUGCAAGUUAAACUUAGGUAUACAAAAUAUAGUGAAAAUAAAACUCAAAAAGACUCGACACAAACAGGAGAAAGAAAGAAAAAAUAA
rnacentral:lncRNA from 1 species